rnacentral:rRNA from 1 species
GACAGAGGUGCCGAGCGUUAGGCGGAAUCACUGGGCUUAAAGCGUGUGUAGGCGGAUCGUUAAGUGUCUUGUGAAAUCCCACGGCUCACCCGUGGAACUGCUGGGCAUACUGGCGAUCUUGGGCCAACUAGGGGCAACUGGAACAAGCGGUGGAGCGGUGAAAUGCGUAGAUAUCGCUUGGAACGCCAAAGGUGAAAACAGGUUGCUGGGGUUGUGCCGACGCUGAGACACGAAAGCCAGGGGAGCAAACGGGG